GUUUAAGCCGCCGCGGUAAGACGUAGGGAGCGAGCGUUGUCCGGAUUCAUUGGGCGUAAAGAGCGCGCAGGCGGUUUGGUAAGUCGGGUGUGAAAGCCCGGGGCUCAACCCCGGACCUGCAUCCGAAACUGCCCGACUAGAGGUAGGUAGGGGAGAUCGGAAUUCCUGGUGUAGCGGUGAAAUGCGCAGAUAUCAGGAGGAACACCGGUGGCGAAGGCGGAUCUCUGGGCCUUACCUGACGCUCAGGCGCGAAAGCUAGGGGAGCGAACAGGAUUAGAAACCCCCGUAGUCC
rnacentral:rRNA from 1 species